ensembl:lncRNA
UUUGAUGAUGAUGAUGAUGGUGAUGAUGAUAGUGAUGAUGAUGAUGAUGGUGAUGAUGAUGAUAGUGAUGAUGAUGGUGAUGAUGGUGAUGAUGGUGAUGAUGAUGAUGAUGGUGAUGAUGGUGAUGAUGAUGAUGAUGAUGAUGGUGAUGAGUGAUGAUGAUGAUGAUGAUGAUGAUGGUGAUGAUGAUGAUGAUGAUGGUGAUGAUGAUGAUGAUGGUGAUGAUGUGAUGAUGAUGGUGAUGAUGGUGAUGAUGAUGAUGAUGAUGGUGAUGAUGGUGAUGAUGAUGAUGAUGAUGAUGAUUGUGAAUGAUGAUGAUGGU